GUUGGGUUGCCUUCACAAAAUACUUGGCAUUUAUUAAUAUCUGCUUUCUGUUGUGUCUGAUUGAACACAGGGACUUUGACAGCUUGUCAGAUCUUACCGAAGAGUCCAAGGUCAAAUAUAUUGCACAGCGGUGGAAGGAGAUUGGCUUGAAGGAUGUCCAAGUUACCAAACACAUGGCCCUUCUGAGCCAUCCUGGACCCGUUCUCAGUACCAUUGUUGAUAAGAGCGGAAACCAGUGCUAUCUGCCCAGCGGAGCGAGAUGUGAGAAGCAGUUCACAACCACAAGUGAGGCUUUUGCCUUUGCGGCCUACUCUGCAGUGGGCAAUAUAGUGGCAGAGGUGGUGGAUGUUCAGUAUGGAAGCCCUGAGGAUUUGAGACACGUCCAAGCUAGUACAAAUGUGACCAAUAAAAUUGCAUUGCUAAAACUCGGAGGAGCACCUUUGCUUUACAAGGUAUGUACUGUCUCUGUUGGUAGAGCUGGGGUUUGCUGGCUGUCUUCUUUAUGUGGAUCCUUGUGAUGGCUCAUUUGGGUAUAAGACCUUUGGGGUGACACUGAACCCAGGUGGGAACCCGUCUUUUCCAAAAGACCCCAGAGUUGUCGGCAGAGACAAUCUCUACAACCUGACAUCAUUGCUGGUUCAGCCUAUAUCUGCCUCAUUGGCAAAAAUGCUGCUCUCUGCCUCAGCCAUGGGGCAAGGAAGACCCUGCGUCCCUAUGAUCAUGCCCCCCACUUCAGCACGAAAAAUCAUAAAUCUCACCAUUGAAAACCAGGUAUCCUUCAAGGCAGUGCACAAUGUAAUGGGAUAUCUCAAAGGCAAGACCAAUCCAGAUCGAUAUGUCCUGGUUGGCAGUCGUCAUGGCAGCUGGUAUGAGGGUGCGUUGGCGGACUGGGGAAAUGGUUCUGCAGUCAUGACUCAGAUCAUUGCCUUUAUGAUGGCUCAAACCCGUGUAGGCUGGCGACCGGACCGUACCAUCGUCUUCUGCUCCUGGGGGGGGACUUCUUUGGGCAAUAUUGGCUCCUAUGAGUGGGGAAAGGAGAAUGCACUGGUGCUACAGAGCAGGGCUGUGGCUUAUGUCAGCCUGCACAGUCCCAUGACAAACUCUGGAUCCCUGCAGGCCACAGCGUCACCUUCCCUUCUGCAACUGGCAGGAGAAAUACAAAAGAGACAUUCUAUGAGCUGCAGCAGAGGAGCUGGUUGCUCUGUGUCCAGUGUCAGCUCACUGCAGACUCCUGGAGAUGCCAACUUUUUCUCCAAUCAGCUUGGAGUGCCUACGGUGGAGUUCACAUACGCAGAGGUCCCUAAAACAGAG
rnacentral:lncRNA from 1 species